CAAUCUUUGAACCUUGGAUGGUGUGAUUAUGUUGGAGAUGUUGGAGUGACUACUUUAGCAUAUGGGUGCCCUGAUCUUAGGAUAGUUGACUUGUGUGGCUGUGUCCGUAUAACAGGUAUAUUAUUCAAGGUUUUAAUGCUUUAAAUUCAGAAUUCUGUUGCCAAACAAACACUGAUCACAUUUCUUUACAUUUUAAAAUAUGUGAUUUUCAUGAUAUUACCAAACAACAUGGAAAGCCCCUUAGAUUUUUUAAACAUACAAUUGAAAUGGUUAACAUGACAGACACGCGAAAAAGAAAAACUCAUUCACGAAUAAAUUGUAAAUGAGAUGUGUCUUUUUGGAAAGAGAAAUGGUAAAUAUCUAUAUUGUAAUACAAGGUUUUUCACACAAAUCAAAAGCUUCAUUUUGAAAAUCUAUAUUCUCUUGGUCCUUGUACAUCUGGCUUUAACACUCUUUUAGUUCAAGAUGAUGAGUACAAUUCUAACUUUGGAGGUUUAUUGCAGAUGAUAGUGUGAUUGCUUUGGCUAACAGAUGCCCCCAUCUGAGGUCUCUUGGACUGUACUACUGCAAGAACAUCACAGACAGAGCAAUGUAUUCUUUGGCACACAGCAAGGUGAAUAACAGGAUAUCUGUGAAAGGAGGAAAUGAUGAAGAUGGGUUAAGGACUUUGAACAUCAGCCAAUGCACUGCACUCACCCCAUCUGCUGUUCAAGCGGUUUGUGACUCAUUCCCAUCUCUCCACACAUGCUCAGGGAGGCACUCACUCAUCAUGAGUGGCUGCCUCAACUUGACCUCUGUGCAUUGUGCCUGUGCUUUCCAUGCACACCGUGCAUUCACCCAUUUCCCCCAUCCAGCUCAUUAAGCUCAUGCUUUCAUGUUGAACUUUUACUUCGAGGAAGUGCCUUUCAAGGGCUCUGAGAAGUGACUUC
rnacentral:lncRNA from 1 species